rnacentral:RNase_P_RNA from 1 species
GAGGAAAGUCCGGGCUCUAUUUAGAGAAAUAUAGCUGUAUGAAAAACAGUGUAGGUAACUACGAGGAAAGUGCCACAGAAAUAAACCGCUUAUGAUUUGUUUUUAAGAUAAUCAUUAGUAAGGGUGCAAUGGUGCGGUAAGAGCGUACCAGGAAUAUUAUUAAAAUAUUUGCUAGGUAAACCCCAUAAAAGAGCAAAGUUUCUAGUUGAGAACAUUAUAUUUUCUCUAUUUAAUAUUCUGUUUCUUGUAAGACUAGUUAGUUAAUACUGCAUUAUGUAGAAUUUUAGUCUACUUUAGAUUAAUAAUUACCCUUUUUGUAUAUUUUAUUUUAUAUUUGUACAAUUAAGAACAAAACUCGGCUUAU